rnacentral:rRNA from 1 species
GACGAACGCUGGCGGCGUGCUUAACACAUGCAAGUCGAACGGAAAGGCCCUGCUUUUGUGGGGUGCUCGAGUGGCGAACGGGUGAGUAACACGUGAGUAACCUGCCCUUGACUUUGGGAUAACUUCAGGAAACUGGGGCUAAUACCGGAUAGGAUCUCCUGCUGCAUGGUGGGGGUUGGAAAGUUUCGGCGGUUGGGGAUGGACUCGCGGCUUAUCAGCUUGUUGGUGGGGUAGUGGCUUACCAAGGCUUUGACGGGUAGCCGGCCUGAGAGGGUGACCGGCCACAUUGGGACUGAGGUACGGCGCAGACUCCUACGGGAGGCAGCAGUGGGGAAUAUUGCACAAUGGGCGGAAGCCUGAUGCAGCAACGCCGCGUGCGGGAUGACGGCCUUCGGGUUGUAAACCGCUUUCGCCUGUGACGAAGCGUGAGUGACGGUAAUGGGUAAAGAAGCACCGGCUAACUACGUG